rnacentral:rRNA from 1 species
CCUACGGGGGGCAGCAGUGAGGAAUAUUGGUCAAUGGCCGGAAGGCUGAACCAGCCAUGCCGCGUGAAGGUCAGUGCCCUAUGGGCGUUAAACUUCUUUUGUGCGGGAGCAAUAAUGGUCACGUGUGGCCAGACGAGAGUACCGUACGAAUAAGCAUCGGCUAACUCCGUGCCAGCAGCCGCGGUAAUACGGGGGAUGCAAGCGUUAUCCGGAUUUAUUGGGGUUAAAGGGUGCGUAGGCUGUGAGGUAAGUCAGCGGUGAAAUGCCCCCGCUCAACGGGGUGAAGUGCCAUUGAUACUGCCUUGCUGGAAUGCGGAUGCCGUGGGAGGAAUGUGUGGUGUAGCGGUGACAUGCAUAGAUAUCACACAGAACACCGAUUGCGAAGGCAUCUCACGAAUCCGCGAUUGACGCUGAUGCACGAAAGCGUGGGUAUCAAACAGGAUUAGAUACCCCUGUAGUC